CUUUUAUCUGAAAACUCUGAUGUACACUAUUCGAGGCUAAAACCUCAAAAGACAGUGGUUCCAUCAAUGGAUCUUUCGUGUAAAUAAAUAAGUUUAAGAGUUCGUUUCUCUUCAACCUUCUUAUUUGAAUAAAACUUCAUGUUUUAAUCAUGUCUUCAUACACUUUUAUUUCCAUAUAUAAACUCAUGUACGGAUCUUUAAAGAAUCAAUGAGACUAAGAAAUACCACUAGGCAAGAGGCCGUUAGGGAAGACAGUCUAGGUGAUUCAUCAAAGUGAGGCAAGGGAGUAUACAGAACGAAAGCGUAAGAAGAAUCAACCAAUCUCUACAUACUGUAAGAAGGUUAAAAUGAUAGAAUUGAAGAUCAAAUUGCUGAUCUAGAAAUACAAAUCGAAAUGGAAGAGAUGGAAAUCUCAACAAGACAACAGAAGGUACAAAUUCUGAAAAAGAAGCUUACUAGACUUCUUAAUAUUAAACAAUCAACUUCUAUUUCAAAGAGGAAGAGUGAUAUCUCUAAAAAACAACCACUACCCCAAAGAGAAGAAAUCAACAUUAGCAAGACUAAUGAAGAUGAAAAUACAGUCCUGAGGAAUACACUCAAAAUAGAUGAGCAUUGUAAAGCUCAUUGUUCUCAAGAACAAAAGGGUAUUCAAAAUCCAAAAGAAGAGUCAGAAGCUCAAGGGCCAAAAACCCAAUUACAGACAGGAGUGCAUUUUAAGCCUCGAAGUUCUCACUAACUAAAGGGUAUUCAAAGCCCAAAAGAAGGACUAAAAGUUCAAGAAAACUUUGCAAAUCUACCACGUGUUGGUGUUAAUACAUCUCUUGUAUGAACAAAAUUCUAUGUAAUCUUUGAUGGGCCACAAAGAGGAUUUUAUACCAA